rnacentral:rRNA from 1 species
UACGGGGGGAGCAAGCGUUGUUCGGAUUUACUGGGCGUAAAGGGCGCGUAGGCGGUCAGCACAAGUCGGUUGUGAAAUCUCCGAGCUUAACUCGGAAAGGUCAACCGAAACUGUGCGACUAGAGUGCAGAAGGGGCAACUGGAAUUCUUGGUGUAGCGGUGAAAUGCGUAGAUAUCAAGAGGAACACCUGAGGUGAAGACGGGUUGCUGGGCUGACACUGACGCUGAGGCGCGAAAGCCAGGGGAGCAAACGGG